rnacentral:lncRNA from 1 species
GUACUUGAGUUUAUAAGGCUGGAGUUUAUGCACCUGGACCCUGGCACUACGUGAAGGGAAGGUGUUGUUCUUGGCAAAAUGCUCAGUAACAAGCCUAUCGGAUUACAGAGUGGAUUUCCUUUAUCUUGGGGCAUUGGACUCUAUUCAGGGAGCAGGAGGGAUAAGAUUUCACAGCUUGUUUGGACAUGCUAGUUACUUCUUAUUCUCAUUCUUCUGAAGAGUGUAGUCUUCUGGCCUACAUCCUAGUAGAAUCAAUGUCCAGACAAGAAAUGCCUUCAGUGUUUUAGAUGCUCUCUGCUGAACCAAAUGACUUUAUUUACCAAAAACAAAACUACUGCCUUCCAAUAGGAAGGAGGUGGCCUUUCCCAGAACUUCUAGCCAAACCAGAGUGUCCUGCUGUUUGACAGAGGUUUAGUAGUGUUUCUAUCAGGAUUCCUUAUAUAAGAAAACCUUUUUUCUUACAUUGUGUCCAAGGUGGUUUUUUCCUCAAUGGACUUCAGGGGAUUCUUUUCCUACUACUUCUUUAGGUAUAUUUUUUCCCUUGCUGUUUUCAUCACUUCAUUCUGCAGGCCAAAUCUUUACCAAAUAUUCAUGUCACUGAAAUCUUUCUGGCAAAUCUGCUAAAAUGAAUCAUUUAUUUUCCUUUGCAAAAAUCUGUUAAAAAGAAAGCAGUAUUCCUGAAAAGAGGUUUGAGGAGGUUCAAUUUUUCCAUCACUUCACCAUAACACAUGCAGACACAGACACACACACACACACACACACACACACAACUUCUAUGUGUACAUGCAUGAAACUAAAGGCACACCAUAGCGAUUGUCACAGUCCUCAUUCUUGAGUCUCUCUUGUGACUUUGGUAAGAUCAAAGGAGAAAUUCAGCCCUGAAACUGUAGAGACAUCACACAAUUUGGGGCAUUUGUCCUGAUUUAUUUAUUGUCCAUUAUAUGUGUUAUAAUUACUGGGGAGGAAAAAAAUAAUGUCCAUUAUAUGUGUCAUAAUUACAGGGGAAGAAAAAAAUAAUUGUAGGUGAUUCUUAUUUCUUCUCCAAUAACUUAUUUAUAAUUUUAAUAUUUUCUACAAUGAAAAUAUAUAACUUUUUGUUUCUUAUCCAUGAUUGUUGAGUUAAACACAUAGUUGAUAUUUCCUAUACUCUUUUUUGUUCAAUAAUAAAUGCACUAAAGUCUCUAAAAUAUUAUCUGAGUACCAUUUUGAACUAAAAUCAUAGGUGUUGGCACGUUGCAUUCUCAUGGUUUUCAAAAAUUUCUAAGUAGUUUAAUAGCCCAAAGAUUAUUUUAAAGAACAUUUUAAUACAUCCAGUUGGAUAUUUAUUUAUUGUUUUG